rnacentral:tRNA from 1 species
GGCGAGGUAGCUCAGCUGGCUAGAGCACACGGUUCAUACCCGUGGUGUCGAGGGUUCGAGUCCCCCCCUCGCUACUA